UGAUAGGGGACUGCCCCGACGGCUGGUCUCGAUUUGGUGACCGGUGUUUCAACUAUAUCAGCACCCCAAAGACAUGGACUGAAGCUCAGGUGAGCUCUCACAGAGAUGAUGAAUACAACAUACUAUUCAUUCAGUUAUUCAUAUGUAUUGUAAUGAAUACAAAAUGGCUCCCACCAGAUUUUUUGUCAGUUCGAUGGCGGCAACCUGGCAUCCAUUCACAGUUAUGAGGAAAACCACUUUGUCCAGUCUUUGACCAGAGGGGACACCGACAACUUCCCAGAAACCUGGGCUGGAGCCACUAGCGCCGUCCAUCCUGGUUUUUGGAUGUGGAUUGAUGGCUCCAAGUUUUACUAUGAAGACUGGUGCGAUGAUGACAAUCAUGAUGAUACGAGUGAAGAAGACAGCCAUGACAAUACAACUGAAGAAAACAGCCAUGACGACACAACUGAAGAAGACAGCCAUGGUAAAUCCAGGAAGAAGCGCAGCCAUGAUGAUACAAGUGAGCAGGACAGCCAUGACAAUACAAGUGAAGAAGACAGCCAUGGCAAAUCUAGGAAGAAGCACAGCCAUGACGAUACAAGUGAGGAAGACAGCCAUGAUGACACAAGUGGGGAAGACAGACAUGGUAAAUCCAGGAAGAAGCACAGCCACGGCAAAUCCAGUAAGAAGGACAGUCAUGACGAUACAAGUGAGGAAGACAGCCAUGAUGAUACAAGUGAAGAAGACAGCCAUGGUAAAUCCAGGAAGAAGCACAGCCAUGGCAAAUCCAGUAAGAACGACAGUCAUGACGAUACAAGUGAGGAAGACAGACAUGAUGAUACAAGUGAGGAAGACAGCCAUGGUAAAUCCAGUAAGAAGGACAGUCAUGACGAUACAAGUGAGCAGGACAGUGAAGAUGACGAUGAUGACGACCAUGACACCAAGAAGACAGCUAGCAUCUGCUUGAAGAUAAAUUGCCAUUAUAAUAUGAAGUGGUGCAGUGCAACCUGCAAUGACGCCUUCCCCUUUGUUUGUUCGAAAAGGAUCUGAACUCAGACCAGGUGAUGAAAAAACCAAGAGUCUUGACUAUACGCACUACACGCGACAGCCCCACAAAAUCUGUUUCUUACUGUUUUUGGUUUUGUUUUAUGUUUUUAAAUGCAAUCAAUAGGUAUUAAACACAUCUUUUAGGGGUAAUUUUUGUUGUUCAACUAGUUGUUUACUGAAUUUGGUUCAGUUCUAGAUAUAAAUCCAAAUCAUUUGUGCAUGUGAACUUGGAUCGUAUUCUUCAUAAUCUUUUUUUGUAUAAUCAAGCAUGCUUCAAUUAAUGUAAUUAUAUUUAAAAAAAAUAAAUAAAAACAAAGCAACACAAGUGAAUUGUGUUUUUUGUCACACAAAAGAAAUCUGGUCCAACUAAACCUAAUGUCUUUGAAAACCUACAUUGUAGGGACAUACAUUGAUCAGAAAAUCUACACUCUGAGGACACUAUUUGAUUGACAUACCUACAUCAUAGAUACACUGAUUACACCUAUAUUGUGUCAGAAAAAAUCUUUUCAUACAGUGAUAUGUUACCAUAUUUGUCGAUUUGGUUAAGACACAAAUAUUUAAACGAAACUUAAAAAUUUUUACAUCUUUAUUGUGGGGACAUGAAUUUGUUCAAACAGCUACUUUGUAUAGUCUCUUUUUGGGGACACCAACUGGGUAACACACCUAAAAUAUGGGGACAUUAACAUAGACAUAUUAAAAAGUUAAGAGUUCAGUUUUUACAACUACACUGUAGGGAGACUGAUAGAUUAUCAAAUGUACAUCGUGGCAACAUAGUCUUACCCUGUGUGAACAUUAUGUGAACACACACAGAUCAGUUACAUUGCAUAAUUUCUUUUUGAGAUUUUAUACUGAUCAAUAAACAUGUUCACAAACUCACUUUGUACAGUCUCUUUCUGGGGACGCAAUUUGAUUAACAAACCUACAUUAUGGGGACAUUAACCUGUAAAAACUGAUCAGUUUGAAAGCAUCUAGGAAAACCAUUCAGUUACCACACUAACAUCAUGGAGAUAUCAAUUAAUUCCCAAGCAUACUCUGUGGGGAUGCUGAUCAGUCUCCCCCAACAGCUACUACAAAACCACCUGUUUACAAUAAUAAUAACUUUAAAAUAACUUAGAUUUCUAUAGCACCUUUCAAGAAACCCAACGAUUCUUUACACAAGAGUAUCUAGUGGUUAAAAAGGCUCGAGGUUAAGUUUUGUUUUGUUGAAGAGGUGAGUUUUGAGAAGUUUCUUGAAUGACUCCAGUGAGUCUUCCAAGAAAGGUAUUGUGACUCUUAUAUGGGAGAGAGUUCCAGUUGGUGGGGGCUGCCACACUUAAGUACAAAGUAACAAUGUACUAAAAACUAGGUUAAAGAAAAAAGGUUUUUAAUACAUACUUACUUUGUCUAACAGCACACAUUUGUGCACGCGUGACUCUGUGUUGAUUUUAGUGAUUUCAUAACAUUGUACAAUGUACCCUUUUGGACUUAAACAAAUAUCAGUUGUUUCAACAUCCUAACUUCCAAUCACUGCAUGACUCACUGCAACUUCUUCAGGAAAACCGUAAAACUGUUCUCACUGUACAUUUUCUGCAUUUUUCUUUCUGACUAAUGAAAACAACAAAAGUAAACAGGAACCAAGGAGAGCUGGGGACUGUUCCCAACACUGAACACUCUUCACACUUCAAAGAAUACAUUAUAUAAUUUCUCCUCUUUAAUAUAAUGUUUUUGAUAUUAAAGGACAGUUGAGUUAAGGCCACUGCGUUUCUAACCAAUCUGCCACUCCUGAAACUAAGAAUUGCAAAUGUUAUUUUAAAGCAAUGAUGCUUUUGCUGCUAUCAUAACAUUGUUCUGAAAAUGUUUCACUAGAUAGAAACAGCUUUUUAAAAACACACGCUACCACAUCUUGUGGCAUUCUGCCUUUCGGCCCCUUUGCCCUUUUGUUCAUUGACAUUCCCCAGACUUACCUGGUGUGGCAGUGACUAAGAUUGGGUAAACUGUCCCAACAGUUACGGAACAGAUCAAUACAAGUGGGGGAGGACGCCUACGCAUGUGCAGAGAUGGAGGA
rnacentral:lncRNA from 1 species